rnacentral:lncRNA from 1 species
UGGGUGUGAGAAUGAUGAAUAUAUGUUAGUAUAUUUUUGCUUUAUCUUUCCUGGUCUUGAUCUUUGUUGGUCGUCAUUUUCUUCUUUAUGAACUAUGUUGGGCGGGGAGAUGUACGGUUAACCGCAAAUGGAACUGCGGUUAACGCCUGCCACACUACGAAGUGUGGAUCUGGUGGCGCCACAGUUGGAUUUGUGGUUGAUGGCAACCGUAAGUGGAUCUGCGGUUGGUUUUGGAGGUGCAUGGCCAGCACACUUGGAAGGGAACGGUCACGGUUAACCGCAAUUCGAUCUGCAGGUGGUUUCUGUCCCUG